rnacentral:rRNA from 1 species
UACAGAGACCUCAAGCGUUAUCCGGAAUCAUUGGGCGUAAAGCGUGCCGAUAGGUGGUCAUACAAGUCUUGGGUAAAAGCCAGAAGCUCAACUUCUGAGUUUGCUUAAGAUACUGUAAGACUUGAGGGGCAAAGAGGUGCUUGGAACGAACGGUGUAGUAGUGAAAAUGCGUUGAUAUCGUUCGGAACACCGAAAGCGAAGGCAGAGCACUGGGUGCCACCUGACACUGCUAGGACGAAAGCGUGGGGAGCGAAUGGG